UAAUUUUUACUCUUUUUUCCUACUUUCAUUUUUGUUUUUCCUUUACCCAAAGUGAUCACAUUAUCCCUACUUAAGUCACCUUCAUUUUUCCUACAUGAACAUCACCAAUAUUCCAUCAUUAUAAGUUAAUCAAACCCUCUAGGGUACUUUUCUUGAUUUGUUGUAAUUUUCGUUCGAUGGAGGAAGAGGAAGACCUAUUGAGUAAACAGAAAAGACUGAGAGUGUCAGAAAAGAUGGUUUUGGUGAUGGUGUUUGAUGGGAACUAUUAUCAUUCAUGAAGAAUCUUGAUUAAUCAUGAAGAUAUUAAUCUUGAUUAGUCAUGAAGAUAUUAAUUAGUCCCAUGGUGUAAGGUAAUUAAGGGCAACUUCUAUAUCCUUUGGCAUUUGAGUCUCUUGAUAGGCUCUAUAUAGGAAUUAAAUUUAUAGUAAAAAAAGACUAGCAUUUUAUGCUAAUUAUCUUAUCCUUUACUUAUUAGUUCUUAUUUCAGUAAUUUUCUUGUGUUUGUAAGCUACUAAUAAUUAAUGAGUGUUUUGAUGUAUUAGGCCUAAUAUGGCCAGAAUAGUAAUGGUUUAGUGAUGUAUUAAUGCUUGAGUGUGUUUUUGUUAUAUGGGUUUAAGUUAUUUAUACAUUGCAAGAAUUUUUACACUAUAUGUCAAGUCAUUUUUACUGAUUAUAGUAUGUAACUUGUUUUAUUUUCAAGAUUAGAAAUCUUGUCUUUUUUAGAGUUUUACCUAUAUAUUUCCUUUAGAUAAACCUAGUAGAUACAAUAUUCUUUAUGUAUUUUGAUGGUGUAUAUAUCUUAAACUCUUGAGCUAGUUUG
rnacentral:lncRNA from 1 species